rnacentral:rRNA from 1 species
CACCGCGGUUAUACGAGGGGCCCAAGCUGACAGACAUCGGCGUAAAGAGUGGUUAGGAGAAACACAACUAAACUAGGGCCGAAUGCUUUCAAGGCUGUUUUACGCACCCGAAAGCAAGAAGAACAACAACGAAAGUGGCCCUAUUGAUUCUGAACCCACGAAAGCUAAGGCACAAACUGGGAUUAGAUACCCCACUAUGCCUAGCCCUAAACAUUGAUGGUUCCUUACAUUAAGCCAUCCGCCAGGGGACUACGAGCAUUAGCUUAAAACCCAAAGGACUUGGCGGUGCUUUAGAUCCACCUAGAGGAGCCUGUUCUGGAACCGAUAACCCCCGUUCAACCUCACCUUUCCUUGUUCAACCCGCCUAUAUACCGCCGUCGUCAGCUUAUCCUGUGAAGGACCCUUAAUAAGCAAAAUUGGUAAAGCCUAGUACGUCAGGUCGAGGUGUAGCGUACGGAAAGGGAAGCAAUGGGCUACAUUACCUACCGUAGGUAAUCACGGACGAUAUAUUGAAAAAUAUAUCUGAAGGAGGAUUUAGUAGUAAGAGAAGAGUAGAGAGCUUCUCUGAAACCGGCUCUGAAGCGCGCACACACCGCCCGUCACUCUCCCCGAGCUCCCAUCAACCUCAUAACUAAUAUUUCCAACUCUGCUGAGGGGAGGCAAGUCGUAA